rnacentral:rRNA from 1 species
ACGGCCAUAACACAUUGAAAUAACCGGUUCUCGUUCGAUCACCGAAGUUAAGCAAUUUCGAGCCUGAUCAGUACUUGGGAGGGUGACCACUUGAGAGCACUUGGUACUGUAGGCU